rnacentral:sRNA from 4 species
GCGAUGAGCUGAAUUGUGUAAGCCGAUGUACAUGCCUUUACGGCACACACGAAUGUGGCGUGUGGUGCAUCGCCUCAAUACGCAAAAGACGUUUGCCUUAGGCAAACGUC